CCUACGGGAGACAGCAGUGAGGAAUAUUGGUCAAUGGACGAGAGUCUGAACCAGCCAAGUAGCGUGAAGGAUGACUGCCCUAUGGGUUGUAAACUUCUUUUAUAUGGGAAUAAAAUGUUCCACGUGUGGGAUUUUGUAUGUACCAUAUGAAUAAGGAUCGGCUAACUCCGUGCCAGCAGCCGCGGUAAUACGGAGGAUCCGAGUGUUAUCCGGAUUUAUUGGGUUUAAAGGGAGCGUAGGUGGAUUGUUAAGUCAGUUGUGAAAGUUUGCGGCUCAACCGUAAAAUUGCAGUUGAAACUGGCAGUCUUGAGUACAGUAGAGGUGGGCGGAAUUCGUGGUGUAGCGGUGAAAUGCUUAGAUAUCACGAAGAACUCCGAUUGCGAAGGCAGUUCACUGGACUGCAACUGACACUGAGGCUCGAAAGUGUGGGUAUCAAACAGGAUUAGAUACCCGGGUAGUC
rnacentral:rRNA from 1 species